UGAGUAACCUGCCCUUAACUCUGGGAUAAGCCUGGGAAACUGGGUCUAAUACCGGAUAUGACUCCUCAUCGCAUGGUGGGGGGUGGAAAGCUUUCUUGUGGUUUUGGAUGGACUCGCGGCCUAUCAGCUUGUUGGUGAGGUAAUGGCUCACCAAGGCGACGACGGGAGCCGGCCUGAGAGGGUGACCGGCCACACUGGGACUGAGACACGGCCCAGACUCCUACGGGAGGCAG
rnacentral:rRNA from 1 species